rnacentral:lncRNA from 1 species
CAGCCAGCACCAGGGCCUAGGUCCCAGUGCUGGGAAGGUGGAGGGAAAGACGCUUUUCCCAUCUGGAUAGGACCAGGAGGCAAGAAGCUUGGGGUGCAACGGCUGGGCCCUGCGGGCCGGGAGAGCUGAGAGGUGAAGCCUCCCUUCCUUGCAGGUGGCGCUGUGCUCCCGCACCAGGUUCAAGUGCACUAGAGGAGUGAUGACAUCAUCCAGGACGGAAACAGCAUCCCCACCGCGGGAGCACCGAGGAAGAGGGCAGCUCACUUGUUGCUCAGGACAGUAGGGAGUGGUUUUUCUCUCUGGCUAAAUCAUGUUUGAAGUUUGGUAGAAAGGGCUUCCUAAGGUGACAGGUUCUAUUGGACCCUUAAGAUUUGGAGGCAGGUUGUUUGGGUUCAGGUGAGCGUCCAGUGCUUUCCUGCAGCACCGUCACAGCCUUAUUUCAGUGAGGGAAGGAAGGGGAGCUGUUAAUGAGAAGCAGUUCUAUGGCCUGAAGACCUGGGCUCAAAACAAAACCAACAAACAAAACAGACCUGAGCUCUGACUUUUAUUAGCUGUGUGAUCAUGGAUAUAUUAGUUAACCUCUCUGGGCCAAAUUCUAUCUGCAAAAUAGAAUAUUGGUAUCCACCUCACAGAGUUGAAGGAUCAGCUGAAGCAACCUAAAGCAUCUAGCUAGUGCCCAGUGCCCAGCAGGCACAGGGGGGUGCAGUGGGACUGACAGUGAGGGCUGACAGUGGAAGCUCUAGCUGGCCUUAGCUCCAGCUCAUACCCUUUAGGUCCAGGAGCCAGUGUGUGUCUGUCUCCUCUCCUCUGGGCCCAGUGAUUGCUUAGGUGACUGGGGUGACAGGCAAGUGGGUGGAGGGAAUGGAGAAGAGUGUACCCUGGGAUCUGAGGGCUUUACCCCCAGGACUAGACUGCCCUCUGGUUUUGGUCAGACCUAGCACAGCGAUCUUGCUUCCUAGCUGGGGCACCCCACCCUCACCUCAAAGAUGGUGAAACUGCUGUGCCUCCUGCUGUUGAGGCAACCUGGAGGCAGAGAAACCUACAAGUGACACAGACCCAAGGUGGCAGUUCCACAGUGCCAAGGGGUGGCAGCACCUUCAAGAGAAUGAAAUUCAGAAAGAUGCCUUUCACCUACACCCGAUGGUGGGCAUGGCAGCAUUGUCAGCAUUCCUGCAGUUGGGGCAGGAAGUGGAAUUGGUGAGCAGGUGGGGAGGGCUGGGGAAGAUGAGGCCCCUCUGAGCCCUAGGGCACACAGAUAUGGGUGCUAUUCUCCAAAUAGUCACUCCACUUCUCUGCCUGCCGCCUUCCUGGGCCUGUGACUGCUGUGAGGACCUGGCCCUGAGCCCAUGGUUAGGCAGAGUCAUGGAAUGAGCAUCCCUGAACAUGCCUAAUAUAGCCAUCCCAGCACCCUGGGCUCCACUCUGCCCCAGCACCCCUGAGAACAACUCUGGCUACUGACUCCAGGCAGCAGGACUGGUUCAGGAGCAGACCUAGUAGAGGCCUGGCCUUCUAGACCUGGACAACCAGGUCAGUGGAGAGUCUUCUGCUUAGAGUUCAGAUUUUCCUCCAUGCUGCACUUUCUGAGGAUGUGAAUUUAUUUCUUGGCCAACUCAAAUAGUGUGGCAGGGAACCUGAGCUUCUAGAGUCCUCCAGGGAGCCCAGGGUUAGGAUCAGGACUCACAGUUCAGGACAACAGGUGGGGCACAGCCAUUCACAGCUAAAGGUUUGUAUAUAUUAUCAAAAUCUUAUGGAAAAACAGAUACACAGCUAUUCAUACAGCAGCAGGUGGGUGUGAGGAAAAUGUCUGCUUUGGCAUCAAACCUUCAAGUCCAGCUGCUGUCUGUCCCACUCCUCCUGUCUGGAGCCUACUCCCAUCAGGCACUGUGCAUCCAGGCCACUGCCCCUGCCACAUCCUCUAAUUAGCCUGGACUUUGGGGUAUCCUCAGCCCCUCCCCACGCUCCCCUUUGGGCCCCCAUGCCUCUCCAUCUUUCUGCCAUUUUCCCACACAGAGUGCCACUGGCCCAGCAGCUUUGCCCCGUGGGCUCCUCAGAGGCCUGAAUCCUGGCCCUGGAGGGCAGUGGGGCUGGGGUGGAUGUGGUCCCUGUGGGACAUCUUUCCUGGAUCACAGGCCUUUUGCAGCUUGCCAGCUACAUGGGCCCUGGACAGUGCCAUCUUCUCAGUGAUGUGCUAAAAGGACUCUUCUUGUCCAGAAACCUGAGCUCCAUGUACUAAAGCAAAAUUUGGAGAGCCUCAGAGACAAGAAAAGGAAAGUGAGAAGAGAUAAGGCAUCCUUCCUUGAGCGUGACCCAGGCCUGGACUCUCCCAUGGCAGAAUAGGGACAUCCACAGCAGUCCUACCCUCUCCUCCAGGCCCUACCCAGCCCCGCCCUGUUGGCUCAUGCCCACAACUACUUAACUUCUUGAGCUGCUUGAGGUUGCUGGAGCGGAUGGCAGCCAAUAGCUGGUCACGGGAGUUCUUCUCCUGGGCAGGGAGGACUUUGUCUCCCAUCUUCCUCUGGGUAGCUGGUGAGAGUGAAUUCUUCAGGUUCUCCAUGAUAAGGGGUGGAGCCAAGGGAGGGGGAGGGGGUGGUGGGGCAGCUGGAGCACCCCCUUUUUUGGGUGAGUUCUUUGGAGAGGGCUUUGGAGAUGGUUGAGGUGAAGGUUUUGGGGAGCCCUUAGCCACGGCCCCGGCCUUGGGUACCUCCAGCAGAUCCUUCUUCUCUCCCUUGGCUUCCUGUGCCUGCCUUUGCUCCUGCAGCCGCUUUUGUCUCUGCUUGUCCAUGUUGCGGCUGAGCAGAUUGGUGACAGUCAUUCGGGGCCCGGCCAGCUCAAAAUGGUAGCCCAGCUUGAGCAGGGUAGUAUUCUCCUUCAGCAGCUUGGCGAUCUCCAUCUCCGUCUUGCCUCCACAGAUGUGUCGCUGGUUGUGGAAGCGGAGCUCGGUCAGCGUGUUGUUCUGGAGGAGGGCCCGGAAGAUGGCCAGGAUGCCUUUGCCUGUGAUGUGGUUGGAGUCCAGGUUGAGGCUGGUGAUGGUCUUGUUGGCCUUGAGCAUGAUGGCAAUGGCAAAGGCCACGUGGUCAUCGGCUCGCGUGUUGGCCAAGGCGAACAGCUUAACCACAGUGUUGAACUCCAGAGCCUCAGUAAACCGGACCAAGAUCUCAUUUGUGAUGCAGUCUGAGUUGUUGACGUUCACCUCAGUCAUCUCGGGGUCAUUGUUCUUCACUCUCUCCAGAGGCUCAUCAAAUAUGCUGGGAGCUGCCUCCUCCUCCACCUUGGCCGGUCCUUCAGAGGGCUUGGUGGGGCCACUGGGCGUCUGUUUCUCGGGUGUUUUGGUCUUGCUGUCAUCCUUGGCUUCCUUUUCAUGUAAGGGUUCAUUCUUCUUGACUUUUUCAUCGUCCUUUUUGGUGUCUGUGUUCCCAGUUCCUCUUUUUACCUUCUCAUCCUCCUUUUUCAUGUCUGUGUUCCCACCUGCUCUUUUCAUCUUCUCACCCUCUUUUCUGGUGUCUGUGUUCCUACGCUCCCCUUUUACCUUCUCAUCAUCCUCUUUCUUGGCCACCUCCUUCAUCUCCUCUCUCUUUUUAUCCUUGUCCCUGCUCAAGCCUGUGUUCCUGUCACUCCCUUUCUUCUCCUCUUCCUUCUUGGUGGCCACUGCCCUCUCCUCUCCUCUCCCAUCCUUCCCUGCCUCCUUCUUAUCCACUGCAGCCCUGACCCGGCCCUUGUCAAUGCCCCGGAUGAUCUUCUCCUCCUUGGGCUUCUCGCCACUCUUGCCACCAGCUUCAUCUCUGUCUCUAGAGAAGCUUUUCUUUAAACCACCCCUCUUUGGCUCCUUCCCCAGAUCUGAGUCCCGUCUGGGGCCCAGGGCUUUUUUGCUGGCAUCUCUGCCCCUUUCCUCUCCAUUCUUGGCAUCUGUCUUGGUCUCCACUUGCUUGCUUUCCUA